AAGAUAAAUAAAAAUAUUUUAAAAUAAAUACAAACUUAUUUCCAUCCUCAUCCUAUCUGCGUUAAUUAUCUUUGUUAAAUACUUUUUUGCCCCAUCUAUAUUAAUGGUUUGAUUUGUUAUAUUUUUAAAUUUAAAUUAAUAGAAAAGUGGCUGUUAACUUUUGUUUUGCUGUCCGGAGAUCCUUACAGAUUAGAGAGAUUGGAUAGUGAGAAAC
rnacentral:lncRNA from 1 species